ensembl:misc_RNA Metazoa_SRP Metazoan signal recognition particle RNA
GCCAGGCGCGGUGGCGGGUGCCGGCAGCUACUCCGGAAGCUGAGGUGGGAGGAUCACUUGAGCCCAGGAGUUCUGGGCUGUAGUGCACUAUGCCGAUCGGGUGUCCCCACUAAGUUCGAUCUCCCGGGAGCGGGGGGGCCACCAGGUUGCCUAAGGAGGGGUGAACCGGCCCAGGUCAGAAACGGAGCCGGUCAAAUCUCCCAUGCUGAUCAGUCGUGGGAUCGUGCCUGUGAAUAACCACUGCACUCCAGCUUGGGCAACAGAGCCAGACCCUGUCUCUU